CAUGGUUUCAUCGCCCUCCUAAGAGACGGUGCCUGAGCCCAGAGGAUCCUGGGAAACGGCCGACCGGAGGUGCACCGAGGAGGGCCAUGUGCAGGGAGAGGAAAUCAGGAUCUAGACAAAUGCCUGGAGCUGUGUGCAGAGGUGCAUGAGGAGCAUAGAGAGGAGGCAGGAAAGAGGAGCCGAGCAGAGGUCCCUGACUUUUUAGACCUGGGAAUUCAUCGAUUCUGCACAACCUCCCAAGAAGCAGUGCCUCAGAGAGGUCAAGCAACCUGCCAGAGGUCACACAGCUAGGCAUUGGCUUCAGAAAAGAAGGAUGAAAGGAUGAGCUACCAAGGGUCAGCUCUGAGCUGGGGGCAGUGGUGUGAGGAACAAGGGAAGGAACUGGUAUUUACUGAGCAUCUACUAUCUGCCACUCCAUGUGGGCACUUUUCUUAUUGACCAAGUAUUGUUCUUGAAUUGUUCUUAAUGCAGAAACUUGGGUGUUUUGAACUCUGUUUUGUUUUUCUUGAGUGCUUUCCUUGCUCUCCAAGCCACAUGUCAACACAGUGAGCUGCUGGGAAAGGUAAUCUCAGUCAUUCGCAGACAUUCUCAGGGCUGCCAUCCAAGGCCCAUGCACAUAUCCUUAGUCUGGGGGCAGCCUAAGUCCUGCAGUAGGGACGGAGUCUCAUCAGUGCGGAGUCCUUGCUGGAUGAGAUGCGUGGUCCUGAGGGGUCCCUGCGGGACAGGAAGCCCUGAUUAGGGUUUCUCUGGCAAGGGCCUAAAUCCCCGCGAUGUUCCACCUGUGGACAGUUGUCAGGGACAGUUGUCAAGGACUCUGGAACCAGACGGUGCAGGCUCACACUCCAGCUCUACCACCCACAGCGGCGCAGACUCGUGACGCUCCAAGAUCAUGUGGGCUGCAGUCUCAAGACGCAUCUGGCCUUCUGCCCUAUUGCCACCGGGGCCCGGCUACUGGAGUCACCUCCCCACGGGUCUCCUGGGUUCCGUCUUGCCCCUGACACUCUCUUCUUGGUCUGCCUGUCAGAGUCCUGUCAGAACUGGCCAGACCCUGUCCCACCUGUGCUCAACCCUCCAAUAGCCUCCAAACCCUGUGGGGGUUAUGAGGUCAUAUGCAAUCUGCCCAUCAACUCACGGACCCCCUCAGUCACCAGGGAUGCCCAAGGUCCUUGGUGAUCUGCCCAGGUUUCCAGUCUCCUCUCUCAUCCCAGCCACCCAGGAUUGCUUACAAACCCCUGACGGUCCCAUGCUCUGCCUUGUCACAGAAUCUAGAAUAUCCUGUCCCAUCUCAGUCACCUGAGUCAUUCCUAAGGCCCCCCCCUUGCCCAGAUCUUACUGGGUUCAUGACCCCCUUCUCAUGCUAAUCGUCCUCUUGAAGUUCUGAGAAAUUCUGGAUUAAAAAGUUUGCAGAAAACUAUUGUUUUGUGUGACUCGUGAUCCCAGACUCCGGGUUUCUAGACUUUCCCCUCCUCCCCGUGCCCCAGCGGCACAGAUAGAGCAGGACCAGGCACCCUGAGUCCUGGUACCUACUUCCUGAUCCCACCUGAUUGGUCCAAAGUGGACCAAUCAAAUUCCUUCCCUGGGAAUCCGACUGUAGCAUCCAGAUUUGAAUCUUGAUCCUGUGGCCCUUUCUCAUCUCUCUGCCAUUCAUUCUCUCCCUCUUUUCCUCCUUUUGCUUAAUUUUUAAUUCAUAAUUUUAUAUAAAGGAUGUAAAUGAUGGUAUGUUUGGUCCCCCUGUUCCUAUUGUUCCCCUCUUUUAUCCACCUCAUCCCUGUGACCUGGUGCUA